rnacentral:lncRNA from 1 species
UCUUCUCCUAUGAAGGGUAUAACCUGCAAAACUCUGUCAUUCCAUUUCCCCGAUGUGAUGGUACGAAUGCACCUUACAUUUACAUCCUUAAAAGGGAACACUUUAAAGUUCUGGAAAAGCCAAAGAUGAUCUGCUUCAAGGUGACUUUCCUCAAAGUGGUCACCUGGACCCAAAGCUGUUGACAUCAUCUCUUGCUCAAAAGUGAUUAAGUCCUGACAAACUAGGCUCCCCAAUAUGACCAACACAAUAGUAAGAGCUAACCUCAGAUAGCAGUUAAGUGUUCUAAGAACUCUGCGUGCACUUAUGUACUCAGUGUUCACAAUACCCCAUGAGGUAGGAACUAGAUUAGUUACCAUUCAUUUUUUACAGUGUGCCAAGUGAUUUUCACUAUCUGUCUAACAAAAUGAAGAGAUGUACUCACCAGAACUCCAGACAACUGCUUUCCAAGACAGAGAAGUAGAUAGAGACCAGACUCUGCUUCCUGUGGAGGUUGGACACUGCAGGGCAAGUCAGAUGAGAGAGGGAUGUUUGGAAAGGGAUGAUAAGGAAGCAGCAUGAGGUCCACAGAGGAGAUGGAGGAGACUCAGUGUGGUAAUGAGAAGGCAGGGGGGAUCCUCCACCCUUCAAGGAAGUCUAUAGUUAAUAAUCCUACAUUAUUCUCCAAGUCUUCUCUAGCUGGAUGUACUCAGUUGUUUGACUUUUGAACAUGUACAUGGGGAGUUUAUUCAGGUUCUAUUUAAAAAAUAGGAUGGUUAGGGCAAAAGAACUAAUUUAACAUUUCUUCAAAGGAGACAGACAGAUGGCCAACAGGCACAUGAAAAUAUGCUCAGCAUCACUAAUCAUUAGAAAACGCAAAUCAAAACCACAUUGAAGUAUCACCUUACACUGGUCAGAAUGACCAUCAUCAAAAGUCUACAAAUAAUAAAUGCUUGAGAAGGUGUGGAGAAAAAGGAACCCUUCUACACUGUUGGUAGGAAUAUAAAUUGGUAUAGUUACUAUGGAGAACAGUAUUCAGUUUAACUCAGUCGCUCAGUCAUGUC